rnacentral:rRNA from 1 species
CUCCGGUUGAUCCUGCCGGACCCGACUGCUAUCAGAGUGAGAUUAAGCCAUGCGAGUUAACGUAGCAAUACGUGGCGCACGGCUCAGUAACACGUAGUCAACAUGCCCAGAGGACGUGGAUAACCUCGGGAAACUGAGUCUAAACCGCGAUAAGUGAGGAUUUCUGGAAUGGUUCCUGACUAAAAUCUAUAUGGCCUCUGGAUUGGACUGCGGCCGAUCAGGCUGUUGGUGAGGUAAUGGCUCACCAAACCUGUAACCGGUACGGGCUCUGAGAGGAGGAGCCCGGAGAUGGGCACUGAGACAAGGGCCCAGGCCCUAUGGGGCGCAGCAGGCGCGAAACCUCUGCAAUAGGCGAAAGCCUGACAGGGUUACUCUGAGUGACUUUCGCUAAGAAAGUCUUUUGGUACCUCUAAAAAGGGUGCAGAAUAAGGGGUGGGCAAGUCUGGUGUCAGCCGCCGCGGUAAUACCAGCACCCCGAGUGGUCGGGACGAUUAUUGGGCCUAAAGCAUCCGUAGCCGGUUCUGCAAGUCCCCCGUUAAAUCCAGCUGCUCAACAGAUGGGCCGCGGAGGAUACUACAGAGCUAGGAGGCAGGAGAGGCAAGCGGUACUCAGUGGGUAGGGGUAAAAUCCGUUGAUCCAUUGAAGACCACCAGUGGCGAAGGCGGCUUGCCAGAAUGCGCUCGACGGUGAGGGAUGAAAGCUGGGGGAGCAAACCGGAUUAGAUACCCGGGUAGUCCCAGCCGUAAACGAUGCAGACUCGGUGAUGGGUUGGCUUCGCGCUAACCCAGUGCCGCAGGGAAGCCGUUAAGUCUGCCGCCUGGGUAGUACGGUCGCAAGACUGAAACUUAAAGGAUUGGCCGGGGAAGCA